ACCAUCCUUUUCUUGGGGUUGCGCUACUGUCCGAUGAGCGUCUAGCGAGGGCAGUACUGCUAACACCUAAACAACACGUUCGCAUCAGCUAAGGCUUUGCUUUAUCUUGGUGCAAUUUUUGGAAAA
ensembl:snRNA